rnacentral:rRNA from 1 species
AGCAGUCGCCGCGGGAAAACGUAGGGUCCGAGCGUUGUCCGGAAUUAUUGGGCGUAAAGGGCUCGUAGGCGGUUUGUUGCGUCGGGAGUGAAAACCCAGGGCUUAACUUUGGGCUUGCUUUCGAUACGGGCAGACAUGAGGCAUUGAGGGGAGAACGGAAUUCCUGGUGUAGCGGUGAAAUGCGCAGAUAUCAGGAGGAACACCGGUGGCGAAGGCGGUUCUCUGGCAAUGUUCUGACGCUGAGGAGCGAAAGUGUGGGGAGCGAACAGGAUUAGAUACCCCUGUAGUCCCUGUCUCUUAUAC